rnacentral:rRNA from 1 species
UACGGAGGGGGCUAGCGUUGUUCGGAAUUACUGGGCGUAAAGCGCACGUAGGCGGCGCUUUAAGUCAGAGGUGAAAGCCCGGGGCUCAACCCCGGAACUGCCUUUGAGACUGGAUUGCUAGAAUCUUGGAGAGGCGAGUGGAAUUCCGAGUGUAGAGGUGAAAUUCGUAGAUAUUCGGAAGAACACCAGUGGCGAAGGCGGCUCGCUGGACAAGUAUUGACGCUGAGGUGCGAAAGCGUGGGGAGCAAACAGG